rnacentral:rRNA from 1 species
UACGUAGGGUGCGAGCGUUAAUCGGAAUUAUUGGGCGUAAAGGGCAUGUAGGUGGUUUUAAAAGUUUGAUGUGAAAUCCCCGGGCUUAACCUGGGAAUUGCGUUGAAUACUGUAAGACUAGAGUCGGACAGAGGGUAGUGGAAUUUCCGGUGUAGCGGUGAAAUGCGUAGAGAUCGGAAAGAACACCAGUGGCGAAGGCGGCUACCUGGGUCCAGACUGACACUGAGGUGCGAAAGCGUGGGGAGCAAACAGG